CCAGACUCCUACGGGAGGCAGCAGUCGGGAAUAUUGCGCAAUGGAGGAAACUCUGACGCAGUGACGCCGCGUGCAGGAAGAAGGUUUUCGGAUUGUAAACUGCUUUAGACAGGGAAGAAACAAGACAGUACCUGUAGAAUAAGCUCCGGCUAACUACGUGCCAGCAGCCGCGGUAAUACGGAGGAUGCGAGCGUUAUCCGGAUUUAUUGGGUUUAAAGGGUGCGUAGGCGGAAUAUCAAGUCAGCGGUAAAAAUUCGGGGCUCAACCCCGUCGUGCCGUUGAAACUGAUGUUCUUGAGUGGGCGAGAAGUAUGCGGAAUGCGUGGUGUAGCGGUGAAAUGCAUAGAUAUCACGCAGAACUCCGAUUGCGAAGGCAGCAUACCGGCGCCCUACUGACGCUGAGGCACGAAAGCGUGGGUAUCGAACAGGAUUAGAUACCCUAGUAU
rnacentral:rRNA from 1 species